rfam:TPA: Bos taurus chromosome 6, whole genome shotgun sequence.
UCUUUUGUAGUCCAGUGAUUAGGACUUUACCUUUUAAUGCAGAGGAUGCAGGUUCAAUCCCUGUUUGGGGAA